UAGUGCCAAAUGCUGCCAAGAGGUCAAAGGAUAAAGUACUAAGAAAAGAGACUGAAACCAAAAAGGAGACCAAAAAAGGACCCAGGGUCAGAGGAACGCUUCUCCACCCCUGACUACAAGUAGAAUCAGAGACACAAACUGAAGAGUGAAAUGAGACAAAGCCUGCUUAAGUACAUCAGUCUUUAGUCUCCAUUCAGAUAGACAAUUUCCUGUGAGUCUGCAAAGAGGAAGUGAAUAGGAACUGUUGAAAUGAGAUGCUGAAAGUGGGCACAGGAACACCUGCCACUAAUCUACCUCACCAAGAUAAGGGACAGAUUAGACUCCUAUCAAGUGUUUUGAGUUCUCUGGCAUUGUAGUAGAUCCGAUACUGCUCUUUCAGCCUGGAAGAGGAACAGUUCUUAGCAUUUGUUGAACUCCACAACAUUCCUGUGAGUUUUAACUUCAGAUAUGGUGAAUAUCAAAAGUUCCUUGGAGUCCUCAAUACUUUGUAGUAAGUAGCAUAAAGAACUCCAGAGACCAGAAGUUUGAAGACUACUGCUGCACAGCAUGGAAUCUAGAAGAAGAGAAGCCCAAAGAGCAGGUGGUACAGCUGCAUCAUUUUCCAGGUGAGAGGGUGCCAUGAGAAACGGCCAUGAAUCUCCCAGACUUCUCAGCAAGAAAACUGAUGCCAAGGGAAAGAAUACCCACAGGUACAAUAGGGAAAGGAACUAAAGAAUGCAUAAGAAGACUGUCAGCACCUACUCAGCAUCAUUUAUUGAGUAUCUACUCUAUGGUGGAUGACAGAGGCCCUGUGUUAGCACAGGCAGACAUAGUACACUCUAACUGUGCAUUAAAAAUUUAACAGAUAUUAAAUUGGAUCCAAAAAAAAGUGUUGGCUCCUCUUUAAAUUCCUUCUAAUCUGUCAACGUCUUUCUGAAACUGAUGCACACCCUCCUUUAAUAAACAUGGAAUCACCACCACCUGCUGGAAUGCAGCUGAGCUUGGCUGGAGCAUACACUUAACAUCUCUGAUGCUGCAUGCAUGAGGGAGACAGCUUUUCCUGCCUGGAGCCCUAGGGGAAGGCUAUGACCCCAGAUUCCAGUAGUCAAAAAGCAAAGGGGAUCUUCAUACAUAGAAAACCACAAAAUAGAUCUCUUGAUUUGUUUGUAAAUUUAGAAAGAUAGAAAUCACA